ensembl:lncRNA
AUGGUGUACUUUCUCUACGGCAUCCUUUUCAUUACCCACCUAAACUAUCUGUCUCAGUUCACAAAAGCCCAAGAUCUGUCUCAGUUCACAAAAGCCCAAGGGUUUCCCCCCACACUGAGGGCGUCCUCGUACAUCAUGAGUGAGAGAGACUCAGUUGAGCUGAGCUGUGACUUAUCUCAGUCUCCUCCUGUGUCUCAGUGUGAUUUCUCCUUAGUUGAGAAAGAGGCACAUAAGCACAGAGCCCCCUCAUGCCAGCUGUCCCUCACAGGGGAGGAACUGAUGAGAUGGUCAGGCCUGGUCAGUUUACCUGCUGUGGUCAAAGUGAAAUGUUCGUCAGCUGAUGAACCGUCACAACAUUCAGACACAGUUUCACUCAUUGUUAAAGGAGCAGCUUCUGUUCCUCCAAAAGCCCACCUGAUGAUCUCCCCUGCAGUCAUCAGAGAGAGUGACACACUUCAGAUGACUUGUGAAGUACCUCAGUCUCAGUCUGCGUCUCUGUGUGUAUUCUACCUGGAUGGGAUAGAGGCUCCUCCAUACAGUCACCCAUCAUGUCAGAUCUCCCUCACUGGUGUUCAGCUCCUGCAGUGGACACGUCAGAGUUCCCCUCUAGAGGCUAAAGUGGGGUGUUAUUAUACAGUAACAUCACUAGGGCAGCAAAUCCAACAUUCUGCUCACUCUGACCUUGUUUCAGUGACUGUUCUAG